CCUCUGGAGAGCCUUGCGGGCACCGAAGGGGCAAGUUCCGAAUUUUUCGGGAGGAAUCUCUCAGGUUAGAAAACAGAGG
rnacentral:ncRNA from 2 species